rnacentral:lncRNA from 1 species
GGGAGGGCGGGCUCGCCGGGUAGAAGUGACUUGAAGAAAGAGCGAGAAGUAUAGAAGGGCGCAGGCGCUAGUUCAGUGCUCGUGAGCAAACACCGUCUACAAGAUUCGAGUCAAACAACGUGAGAACUUGAAAUACGUCUCCAUUCUUUUUCCUUAGUACUCUCGUUCAUUCACUUACGACUUAGAAGCAACUUGAGGCAGUAUGGGAGCAUAAAAGACAGCCAGGAUGCCAAAGUCUCCGAGCAGUGAGUAGGAGUCUAAGAAGUUGGAAAGAUUCAUGGACCUCUUCCAGUAUGUGAAAGCCACAACUGUGGAGCAAAUGGGAAAGCAGCAAUGUGAGAACAGAUUAAUACACAGAGCAUCCAGAGAGAAAUACCCAGCAAUCAGUUGGAGCUGAAAGGCCCAAGAAGGAGAGGGAAUAGAAGGAUGACAUGCAUAUUUGGAUGAAAUUCACAUAUAGGAGGAAUCCAAAAAAGUGUCCGUAGAGAUAAAAAGGUUCUAGAGGUUGCCUGCAUUCCUUGACUCCUGAAUCUCUAUCACCUUCAGAGCCAGAUAUUUCCUGCUGAGUCUUUCUGAGGCUGCAUCACCCUGACCCUGACUCUUCCAUCUCCAUCCUUCAUGCUUAAAGGAUCCUGGUGAUUACAUUGGACCCUCCCGUACAAUCUAGGAUACAUUUUUAACCUUAAGGUCUUCAAGGGAUCACCACACUGUCUUCCACAAUGGUUGAAC